GUGCUUUACUGUGACCUGUUGCUAUUCUUCUGUUGGGAUGCUCUGGAACAUUUUUGGGGGGUCAGAAUUUUGCAGCUUGGCUGCCUAUGAGCCUAAGGUCACCGUGCCCAGUGACAAGCAUAGGCCAGAGGGGUAUAAAGCCCCCCAGAAUCCUCACAGCAGAGCUCCAGCAUCCACUCUGAAGCCUUUCCAGAAGAGUAGAGGCCGUUACAGCAGCACAAACUCCCCAGAAGUCAUUUUGAAUGAUCAAAUCAUGUGUAUGUGACACAAUCCUGGAAUCCACUGAACUUCCUGUUACUUCACAAAGUUCCGAAGCUAUUUUAAUGGCACUCUUAAGAAGCAGGAAAAGAGCGAAGGACUGGAGACGGAGCUGGAUUCAAAAUGAGCUUAGCGUACAUAAACCUGCUCCUGGCAGUUACAGGACUUUUGCAAGUGGUUAUUGCAGGUAAACCCCAGAAGGUUAAGAUUUCCGGUCCUGAGGAGGUGGUAGCUGGAGUGGAUGCCCUGUACGAGUGCUCUGCCCUCUGCACGGGACUCUGUCAUUACUCCUGGCUCUCGGAAGGCCGAACUGUUGAUGGACGCACGUUUACUCUGACUGCUGACGGCGUGAACACAGUCGUGUCGCUGGCGUGCACAGUGUCCGAUGAAGAGCGAAAGAACUUUGAGAGCAAGGUCAUAUCAGUGACAGUGAUAAAUCCCAUUUCCGUGAGGCCGUCAAAAGAUCAGCCGGUGCUUAACCGGGAGCCGAAAGUGGGCCGCUCGUUCAAGCUCACGUGUGAUGGCGCCACUCCACCAGUCACUAUAAUCUGGCUUAAGGGUUUUGAACUUAUUACUUUAAACUCCAGGAUGAGUCUGUCACCCGACAACACCACGCUGUCCUUUAGCAGUCUGGAGGCUAAGGACAGUGGUGAGUACAGGUGCAAAGUCCUUAAUGGAAGUGCCGCUGUCAUAAGCAAGGACUACUGGAUUUAUUUUGGCUUUGUUCAAGUGGGCCUGACUGGGCCGAGAAGUGCUGAAGUGGGCUUUGAGACUGAGUACACAUGCAGUGCAGAGUGUGGGGUGGACUGCACUGUACAGUGGGCGCUGCGUACCGGCUUUCCGAAGGGUAGAUUCAUCGCAGAUGGACCAAAGAUCCGCUGGACUCCGUCUGAACUCGGACAGACCCAGAUCUUCACCUGCCUUGCUCUUAACCCAGUAGCGGGCAAGCUUGGAGAGGUGUCUGUACCUGUGACUGUUAUAGAGGCGCGGCCACGCCCCAGACCCAGCAAUGCCAUCUCAGCCAGGCCCAGUGUUGCCAUGGUGAUCGGUGCCACUCUACUGAUGCUGGUUUGUGCUUUGGCCUGAGGGGGGAGCUCCAGAGCCAGGCACAUAUAAAUGUGUGUCAGGGCUGCAUCCUAGAGGAGCUUUUCCAGUACAGAAUGCAUUCCCUUCUGUUCUAUUCCCUACCCAGACUUCAACAAAAACAUAUGUGUGUGUGUGUGUGUGUGUGUGUGUGUGUGUGUGUGUGUGUGUGUGUGUAUAUAUAUAUAUAUAUAUAUAUAUAUAUAGUGAGCAAUCAUCUACUACUGCUACUGAUCGUAUCUUCUCUGUCAUUAUACCUGUCAGCUUCAUCAGAUAUUCAUAUUCAGCAUUUUUUUAGUGAUAUAACUGAUUAUUAAUGAUUUUUAAAUGUUUAGCACCUUUAUGAGCCAAUAAUAAUCUAAAUUUAAGCCAUACAUAAAACACUAUUGCCCUUUUUGCAAAGCAGUGUCCAAAUAACAUGUUCAGUUUAGUUUUUAGUUUAUUUUUUGUGUCUGAAAUGUAUUUUUCCAUUUGGUUAUAUUGCCUGUUUGAAACGUUGUAAUGCGGCACUGGAUCUGAGAAAGAAAGCAUUUGUAUGAUCGUGAGCGUUAGUAUUAUUAGGGGUCCAAGCACUUAUUAUCAUUUAUUUCAUUACAUGUAUCAUCCAACACAAGCUCCCAGGUUAGCACACCUCUAACUCACAUUCUAAUCUUGUGGUCUGAAUGUAAAUAUACGACGUAUUGGAAAAUUCCACGCUGUGCAGUAAAAUGUUUAAAGUGAGCCCUUCCCUCAGGCCUUUGUCAGAGAGCAGGCCGUGACUCUGUUUGCUGUCCACUCCUUCUGAUGAUAAUUCUCUCUCUCUCUCUGAAUCUCCUCUAUUCACCAAGUCUUUUCAAUCCACAUGAAGGCACACAGGUACACGGUGUCCCAGUAGUAAAACUGAGCCUCUUGCUAAAUGUUUGCAGGUUUGGAAAAUGUCCACACAGCGGUUAAUCAUCUACUGUUACACCGCAUACGUAACUCACUCUGAUGAUGUCAUUUCAGUGUUUCUGUCUUAUCAGCUCAGUUCAUAUCACAUGAAUGCAUUAAAAAGGAAGAGAAGCUACAGCAGUCAUACAAACACAUAAACAUGGGUGCAUGUCUUCUUUUCAAUGUGCUGAAGGGCUUUGUGUGCACUGUCAUCAACAUUUGACUAACAAAAGGAGCUGCAGGCAGGUAGAGCUAUCCUUCAGAUAAACACCAGCACAGCACCGUCUCACUGAGGAACAGACACUGCAGUGUAAUGUACAAGCUUUGUUUUCUAACUUCAUCUCCUGGGGUUUUUUUUUGACAUUCCUACUUAAAAGAAGCCAAUAAGGUGUUACUUGAACCCUGCUAGGUGACAGCACAUGGCAUCUGACAUGUCACGGUUACAUUUUACAUUUUACAUUUAUGGCAUUUGGCUGACGCUCUUAUCCAGAGCGACUUACGAUUUGAUCAUUUUACACAAGUAGGCAAAGGUGGUGUUAGGAAUCUUGCCCAAGGACUCUUAUUGGUAUAGUGUAGGGUGCUGCCCAGGUUGGGGUUUGAACCCUAGUCUACAGUGUAGAAGGCACAGAUGUUAACCACUACACAGGGCUGUUUUAGAUAGAUAGAUAGAUAGAUAGAUAGAUAGAUAGAUAGAUAGAUAGAUAGAUAGAUAGAUAGAUAGAUAGAUAGAUAGAUAGAUAGAUAGAUAGAUAGAUAGAUAGAUAGAUAGAUAGAUAGGCAGACAGACAGAUAGACAGAGAGAUGGGCAGACAAAGAUAGAUAGAUAGAUAGAUAGAUAGAUAGAUAGAUAGAUAGAUAGAUAGAUAGAUAGAUAGAUAGAUAGAUAGAUAGGCUUUAUUGAUCCCGAAGGAAUUUUAGCUUUUUAAUUUUUGAACCUUUAGGGGUCCUAAGUAAUCUUGGGCCCCACCAACCCACAGUUUUGUGUGU
ensembl:lncRNA